rnacentral:rRNA from 1 species
CCUACGGGAGGCAGCAGUCGAGAAUCAUUCACAAUGGGGGAAACCCUGAUGGUGCGACGCCGCGUGGGGGAAUGAAGGUCUUCGGAUUGUAAACCCCUGUCAUGUGGGAGCAAAUCAAAAAGAUAGUACCACAAGAGGAAUAGACGGCUAACUAUGGGCCACCAGCUGCGGUAAUACAGAGGUAUUAAGCGUUGUUCGGAAUCACUGGGCGUAAAGCGUGCGUAGGCUGUUUCGUAAGUCGUGUGUGAAAGGCGCGGGCUCAACCCGCGGACGGCACAUGAUACUGGGAGACUAGAGUAAAGGAGGGGGAGGCGGAAUGCGCGGUGUAGCAGUGAAAUGCGUAGAUAUCGAGAGGAACACUCGUGGCGAAGGCGGGUUCCUGGACAUUAACUGACGCUGAGGCACGAAGGCCAGGGGAGCGAAAGGGAUUAGAUACCCCAGUAGUC